GUUGGGCUUGGAGCUAGGAUUUUUCUGAGUGCAAUGAACCAACUCCCGAGUCUCUUGGACGUUCCUAAAAAAAUUUGAUUUUUUCCCAUAGGAAUGCAUGGGUUAGGGUUAGGGUUAGGGUUGGAGCUAGGGUUAGGGUUAGGGUUAGGGUUGGAGUUAGGGUUAGUGUUGGAGCUAGGGUUAGGGUUGGGCUUGGAGCUAGGAUUUUUCUGAGUGCACUGAACCAACUCCCGAGUCUCUAGGACAUUCCUAAAAAAAUUUGAUUUUUUCCCAUAGGAAUGCAUGGGUUAGGGUUAUGGUUAGGGUUAGGGUUGGAGCUAGGGUUAGGGUUAGGGUUAGGGUUGGAGUUAGGGUUAGUGUUGGAGCUAGGGUUAGGGUUGGGCUUGGAGCUAGGAUUUUUCUGAGUGCAAUGAACCAACUCCCGAGUCUCUUGGACGUUCCUAAAAAAAUUUGAUUUUUUUCCAUAGGAAUGCAUGGGUUAGGGUUAGGGUUAGGGUUGGAGCUAGGGUUAGGGUUAGGGUUAGGGUUGGAGUUAGGGUUAGUGUUGGAGCUAGGGUUAGGGUUGGGCUUGGAGCUAGGAUUUUUCUGAGUGCACUGAACCAACUCCCGAGUCUCUAGGACAUUCCUAAAAAAAUUUGAUUUUUUCCCAUAGGAAUGCAUGGGUUAGGGUUAGGGUUAGGGUUGGAGCUAGGGUUAGGGUUAGGGUUAGGGUUGGAGUUAGGGUUAGUGUUGGAGCUAGGGUUAGGGUUGGGCUUGGAGCUAGGAUUUUUCUGAGUGCACUGAACCAACUCUCGAGUCUCUAGGACAUUCCUAAAAAAAUUUGAUUUUUUCCCAUAGGAAUGCAUGGGUUAGGGUUAGGGUUAGUGUUGGAGCUAGGGUUAGGGUUGGGCUUGGAGCUAGGAUUUUUCUGAGUGCAAUGAACCAACUCCCGAGUCUCUAGGACGUUCCUAAAAAAAUUUGAUUUUUUCCCAUAGGAAUGCAUGGGUUAGGGUUAGGGUUAGGGUUGGAGCUAGGGUUAGGGUUAGGGUUAGGGUUCGAGUUAAGGUUAGUGUUGGAGCUAGGGUUAGGGUUGGGCUUGGAGCUAGGAUUUUUCUGAGUGCAAUGAACCAACUCCCGAGUCUCUAGGACGUUCCUAAAAAAAUUUGAUUUUUUCCCAUAGGAAUGCAUGGGUUAGGGUUAUGGUUAGGGUUAGGGUUGGAGCUAGGGUUAGGGUUAGGGUUAGGGUUGGAGUAAGGGUUAGUGUUGGAGCUAGGGUUAGGGUUGGGCUUGGAGCUAGGAUUUUUCUGAGUGCAAUGAACCAACUCCCGAGUCUCUAGGACGUUCCUAAAAAAAUUUGAUUUUUUCCCAUAGGAAUGCAUGGAUUAGGGUUAGGGUUAGGGUUGGAGCUAGGGUUAGGGUUAGGGUUAGGGUUGGAGUUAGGGUUAGUGUUGGAGCUAGGGUUAGGGUUGGGCUUGGAGCUAGGAUUUUUCUGAGUGCAAUGAACCAACUCCCGAGUCUCUAGGACGUUCCUAAAAAAAUUUGAUUUUUUCCCAUAGGAAUGCAUGGGUUAGGGUUAGGGUUAGGGUUGGAGCUAGGGUUAGGGUUAGGGUUAGGGUUGGAGUUAGGGUUAGUGUUGGAGCUAGGGUUAGGGUUGGGCUUGGAGCUAGGAUUUUUCUGAGUGCACUGAACCAACUCCCGAGUCUCUAGGACAUUCCUAAAAAAAUUUGAUUUUUUCCCAUAGGAAUGCAUGGGUUAGGGUUAGGGUUAGGGUUGGAGCUAGGGUUAGGGUUAGGGUUAGGGUUGGAGUUAGGGUUAGUGUUGGAGCUAGGGUUAGGGUUGGGCUUGGAGCUAGGAUUUUUCUGAGUGCACUGAACCAACUCCCGAGUCUCUAGGACAUUCCUAAAAAAAUUUGAUUUUUUCCCAUAGGAAUGCAUGGGUUAGGGUUAGGGUUAGGGUUGGAGCUAGGGUUAGGGUUAGGGUUAGGGUUGGAGUUAGGGUUAGUGUUGGAGCUAGGGUUAGGGUUGGGCUUGGAGCUAGGAUUUUUCUGAGUGCAAUGAACCAACCCCCGAGUCUCUAGGACGUCCCAAAAAAAAUUUGAUUUUUUCCCAUAGGAAUGCAUGGGUUAGGGUUAUGGUAAGGGUUAGGGUUGGAGCUAGGGUUAGGGUUAGGGUUAGGGUUGGAGUUAGGGUUAGUGUUGGAGCUAGGGUUAGGGUUGGGCUUGGAGCUAGGAUUUUUCUGAGUGCAAUGAACCAACUCCCGAGUCUCUAGGACAUUCCUAAAAAAAUUUGAUUUUUUCCCAUAGGAAUGCAUGGGUUAGGGUUAGGGUUAGGGUUGGAGCUAGGGUUAGGGUUAGGGUUAGGGUUGGAGUUAGGGUUAGUGUUGGAGCUAGGGUUAGGGUUGGGCUUGGAGCUAGGAUUUUUCUGAGUGCAAUGAACCAACUCCCGAGUCUCUUGGACGUUCCUAAAAAAAUUUGAUUUUUUCCCAUAGGAAUGCAUGGGUUAGGGUUAGGGUUAGGGUUGGAGCUAGGGUUAGGGUUAGGGUUAGGGUUGGAGUUAGGGUUAGUGUUGGAGCUAGGGUUAGGGUUGGGCUUGGAGCUAGGAUUUUUCUGAGUGCAAUGAACCAACUCCCGAGUCUCUAGGACGUUCCUAAAAAAAUUUGAUUUUUUCCCAUAGGAAUGCAUGGGUUAGGGUUAGGGUUAGGGUUGGAGCUAGGGUUAGGGUUAGGGUUAGGGUUGGAGUUAAGGUUAGUGUUGGAGCUAGGGUUAGGGUUGGGCUUGGAGCUAGGAUUUUUCUGAGUGCAAUGAACCAACUCCCGAGUCUCU